rnacentral:rRNA from 1 species
AUGAACCGGCAAAAGUCCAAAUUUGAAAUCUGCCAGCAAUGGCCGAGUUGUAAUUUGAAGAUGGUAAUUCUGUGGAGAGUCUUUGCUCAAGUUUCCUGGAAUGGAACGCCGAGGAGGGUGACAGCCCCGUGAGGCAUAGACUUAAAGCGUGUAGAGUACUAUCAAAGAGUCGGGUUGUUUGGGAAUGCAGCUCUAAUCUCGUGGUAAGUGGCACGAAAGACUAAAUAUUGGUGAGAGACCGAUAGCGAACAAGUACUGUGAAGGAAAGAUGAAAAGCACUUUGAAAAGAGAGUGAAAUAGUACGUGAAAUUGUUAAUAUGGAAGGAUAUAAAACUAGACACGGAGUUUUGAGUUCGGCAGUCCCUCGGGAUUGUUUUGUCUCUUUAUUCCACACCAGCAUCAGUUUUGGCAGGAGGAUAAACAGUGCGGAAUGUAGCUACUUUGUAGUGUUAUAGCCGUACUGCAUACUCUUAGCCGGGACUG